GCCGCCGUAGCUCAGUGGUAGAGCGCACCCUUGGUAAGGGUGAGGUCAGGAGUUCAAUCCUCCUCGGUGGCACCA
rnacentral:tRNA from 1 species